GCAAAUAUAGUUUAACCAAAACAUUAGAUUGUGAUUCUAAAAACAGAAGUUGAAACCCUUCUUAUUCGCC
rnacentral:tRNA from 1 species